UGAAAGUCCAAUAUGGGGAAUUAAGGGUGUUUUUAGGUGGGUAAAACAGGGAAUUCCCCCAGAAGGACAUUUCAAACAAAAAAAAGAUAUGUUUUUUUUGUGACUGUUGUAAUUUAUACUUAUUUUUCCCUCAAAAAUGAAAUUGGUUGUGUGUGUCCUUAUUACAUAAAAAAACUCUUUUUAUGAAAAAAUUGUAACAUCGCU
rnacentral:lncRNA from 1 species